GCAGACCUGAAUACACAAGCUUCUAGUGUUUUCUUCCCCAUGCAGAUGGGGCUGGGGUUAAAAGAUGGGAAAACUAAAAUGGGCAGAAGAAUGGAAAGGCUGAUAGAAAGGUGAGUAUGCCAAAAGAUCCUGAUAUGUAUAUAAAAAUGUCAUCCUGGAUUUUUUUCUGUAAUUUUUAUGUACUAAUAAAAAUUAAAAUUUGAAUAAAGCACAAAAAAUAUCAGAAUCCAAAAAACAAACUGAAACAAUUAGAACCAUAUGCUACCAGUUAGAUUUGAAAGAGCUCUCAGCUACUUUGUGAAUUCUUAGAAGCCCAAUCAGACUGCAUGUCAGAGCAAGAGAGCAGGACUUUAUGUUCAGCUUAACAUGACCAAGACUCAACAUUCUGGCAAGCAGACAUACGCUGUAAGUUACAUCUUAAACUUUUAAAGAACAAAAGACAUAUAUCAUUAAAAAAUAGUCAAAAUCUGCUAUAAUUUAAGAAUAUUUGAGCCUUCUGUGUUAAAUUUUCCAGGAAACACAAGCAAAGAGAAUGGCUAUGACCUUGAUGUUUCCAAGGUCAUCAAAACAUGUUUGCUCUCUCUGUGUGUGUACGUGUGUUCUCCUCAUUCUGGCACUUAGUUUAUAUCUGCAGUCCUACAAACAGUUGCUGAAGUGAAGGAUCCUACCAACUGCUCCAGUUAAAGACAAAUUGCUGCAGAAAGGAAGAGUUAUCUGUCCAAACACCUGCUGUGCCUGAUAGCCUGCAUUUGGAAAAGCCAUCUCCAUUCUUCAUGCCUUGACUUUGACACCUCACCAACUGUGCUAACAGGAUCAGUCAGGAGGGAGCCAACCCCUGUUGCAUGGCUUGAAACAAGGCCGGGUAUAAGUCAGAGCCUCACAUUAUUAAACCUUCUGGUCAGAUUUUACUGUUUGGGGUAAAAGGGAUGGGGGUGGGAGAGGGGAAUCAUGACAUGGUGUAAGAGUUACAGGGCUCAUUUCUGAUGGGAGUUUUCCAAUGAAGGAGGCAAGUGCUCCCGCUUAAUGCUGUAAUGUGAUUCAAAAUGACAGAGCAAUGCAGCCGUAUCUGGGAAACCUCUAGAAAGACUGAUGAGAUCAUAUAUGUGCUUGAGCCACGGGAAGGCUGCUUAUCUUGGGAAAGAUCUUAACUGGAAGCAAGUUAGAGACCCUGAAAGCAUCUGGCCUGCAUCCAGACACAAAGAUAAAUGUGCAGGAUCUCUGCUCUGCAGCUCCGUGAAGACAUAACAGGGGAGCCUUUCGCAUCCGGCUUACGGUCUUUCUUCAAAAAGCAGCAUCAAGUAAAGUCAACCGUGCUUUGGUUAAUCACAAUCACUGCCUGUGACCAUGCUAACUUACCCCAGGUCUCCCUGUGGAAACCUGUCUCUGAAAUGAGUUCUCUAAGAUUAU
rnacentral:lncRNA from 1 species